rnacentral:rRNA from 1 species
CGCCAGACUCCUACGGGAGGCAGCAGUGGGGGAUAUUGCACAAUGGGGGAAACCCUGAUGCAGCGACGCCGCGUGGGCGAAGAAGUAUUUCGGUAUGUAAAGCUCUAUCAGCAGGGAAGAAAAUGACGGUACCUGAGUAAGAAGCUCCGGCUAAAUACGUGCCAGCAGCCGCGGUAAUACGUAUGGAGCAAGCGUUAUCCGGAUUUACUGGGUGUAAAGGGAGCGCAGGCGGUCUGGCAAGUCUGAUGUGAAAUACCGGGGCUCAACUCCGGGACUGCAUUGGAAACUGUCAGACUGGAGUGUCGGAGAGGCAGGCGGAAUUCCUGGUGUAGCGGUGAAAUGCGUAGAUAUCCGGAGGAACACCAGUGGCGAAGGCGGCCUGCUGGACGAUGACUGACGCUGAGGCUCGAAAGCGUGGGGAGCAAACAGGAUUAGAUACCCCUGUA